rnacentral:lncRNA from 1 species
UGUUUCCUCAUAUUUUUCCAUGCCAAAAAAUAUCCAACGUGAAGUCCUUUGGGCAUGAGAACAUAUAUGGGGCAUGGGGCUUUAGUGGAUUUGAUGGCUUGUUUGAUUUGAUCAAGGUUAAGUCCAAAUCCAAGUGAAAGUUGGAGUCCAAUUUAGAUUAGGUUAAGUCCAAUCCCAUUAGACUAAUGAAAUCCAAUCCUAGUUAAAUUCAAACCAUAUC